ACCUCCAGUUCGGAUUGCAGCCUGCAACUCGGCUGCAUGAAGCCGGGAUCGCUAGUAAUCGCGGAUCAGAAUGCCGCGGUGAAUACGUUCCCGGGUCUUGUACACACCGCCCGUCACACCAUGGGAGCCGGUAACGCCCGAAGUCAGUGACCCAACCGAGAGGAGGGAGCUGCCGAAGGCGGGACAGGUAACUGGGGUGAAGUCGUAACAAGGUAAC
rnacentral:rRNA from 1 species